rnacentral:tRNA from 1 species
GGUUGUGGCUCCGUGGUAGAGUGCUUGCCUUGCAUGUGUGAGGCACUGGGUUCGAUCCUCAGCACCA